rnacentral:rRNA from 1 species
UACGGGGGGGGCAAGCGUUGUUCGGAAUUACUGGGCGUAAAGGGCUCGUAGGCGGCCAACUAAGUCAUACGUGAAAUCCCUCGGCUUAACCGGGGAACUGCGUCUGAUACUGGAUGGCUUGAGUUCGGGAGAGGGAUGCGGAAUUCCAGGUGUAGCGGUGAAAUGCGUAGAUAUUCGCAAGAACACCAGUGGCGAAGGCGGCUUACUGGUCCGGUACUGACGCUGAGGUGCGAAAGCGUGGGGAGCAAACAGG